GGGGCAAUAGCUCAGUGGUUAGAGCAGCGGACUCAUAACCCGCUGGUCGUAGGUUCAAAUCCUACUUGCCCCA
rfam:Parachlamydia-related symbiont TWE25, complete genome